rnacentral:rRNA from 1 species
UACGUAGGGGGCAAGCGUUGUCCGGAAUCAUUGGGCGUAAAGCGCGUGUAGGCGGUUAGGUAAGUCGGCUGUGAAAGUCCAGGGCUCAACCCUGGGAUGCCGGUCGAUACUGCCGGACUAGAGUUCAGAAGAGGCGAGUGGAAUUCCCGGUGUAGCGGUGAAAUGCGCAGAUAUCGGGAGGAACACCAAUGGCGAAGGCAGCUCGCUGGGACGUUACUGACGCUGAGACGCGAAAGCGUGGGGAGCAAACAGG